rnacentral:miRNA from 1 species
AUAUGUGUGUGUAUUAUAUGUAUAUGUGUAUACACACAACAUACACACACACACACACACACACACAUAUAUAUAU